UCCCUGGCAGUUCAGUGGUUAGGACUCUGCACUUCUACUGCGGGCAGUCCAGGUUCAAUCCCUAGUCAGAGAA
rnacentral:tRNA from 1 species